AGAAUCAACGCUGGCGGCGUGCCUAACACAUGCAAGUCGAGCGCGAAAGGGGGGUAACUCCCCAAGUAGAGCGGCGAACGGGUGAGUAACGCGUGGGUAAUCUGCCUCCGAGUGAGGAAUAACAGCGGGAAACUGCUGCUAAUACCGCAUGACAUCGUCGAGCCUUCGGGUUUGACGAUCAAAGCCGGGGACCGCAAGGCCUGGCGCUUGGAGAGGAGCCCCGCGUCCGAUUAGCUAGUUGGCGGGUAACGGCCCACCAAGGCGACGAUCGGUAGCCGGCCUGAGAGGGCGACGGCCACGACGUGGACUGAGACACGGCCCAGACUCCUACGGGAGGCAGCAGUGGGAAUUUUCGGCAAUGGGGAACCUGACGAAGCAACGCCGCGUGAGGAUGAAGGCCGUUCGGGUCGUAAACUCCUAGUCGACGUGGACGAAAGCUACGUCCGUAACCC
rnacentral:rRNA from 1 species